AGCUGUCAUUCAAAUGAACGAUCUUUGUUCUUCCUUUUGAAAACAAAUGGUCCCGUUUCUCCUCCCAAACUGCUAGUGCUGCCCCUUCAUCACAGAAAUCUGAUAAGCAGCCUCAGGCAACAAAUCAUAGGUGCACAGAUCCCGAGUCUUGCAGAAGUAUAAUUAUUGAAGAUAAUGAGCAUGAGAGUCCACUUUGGAAGCUUACGUGCUACGGUCAUUGGAAAAAUUUCCCUUGUGACAUCAUUG